GGUGUACACCGUCUCCUGCCCGAUGACUGUUGGGGUAGGCUCCAGCACUCCCCGCGACCCUGGGUGUACCCCGCCUCCAGCCCGAUGACAGCUGGGAUAGGCUCCAGGACUCCCUGUGACCCUCGGUGUGCCCCGCCUCCCGCCCGUUGACAGCAGGGAUAGGCUCCAGGACUCCCACGACCCUUGUGAGGAUAGGCAGUAAAGAAAAUGGAUGGAUGGA